GCUCAGGUGGUGGAAUUGGUAGACACGCUGUCUUCAGGCGGCAGUGCCGCAAGGUGUAAGGGUUCGAGUCCCUUCCUGAGCACCA
rnacentral:tRNA from 1 species